AUCCUGGAGCAGCCAGCAAGUCUGCUGGGGUCACUAACAGGUGCCUACAGGAUGGGGGAGAGACCUGGGGUCCUCUUCUGUUUUUGUAGCUGGCAUGCCAAAUAGUUGAUGUGGAAUUUUGAGGUCUGUAACCAUUUGAUGAAACAGUCCUAGAGAAUAAAAGCAGGCAUUUUGGAGAUGGGCUGUGUCUGGCUUCCAGGGACCCAGAAGGAGCUCCAGUAACGCAAGAUGUGGGGUUUUCUGGGAAAGAGAUGCAAAUUAAAAAGCUGGCAUGGACUGAAAAUCUGGCAUCAACUGUUAAGUAACAAAUGAUAAAAUAACCUUUAAAAAUAAAGUUAGAAUUGAAAAAAUUAAA